UACGGGGGGAGCGAACGUUGUUCGGAAUCACUGGGCGUAAAGGGCGUGUAGGCGGUUCGGUAAGUGGAAUGUGAAAUCCCCCGGCUUACCCGGGGAACUGCAUCCCAUACUGCUGGACUUGAGUGCGGGAGAGGAUGGAGGAAUUCCUGGUGUAGCGGUGAAAUGCGUAGAGAUCGGGAGGAACACCAGUGGCGAAGGCGGCCAUCUGGCUCAACAUUGACGCUGAGGCACGAAAGCGUGGGGAGCAAACAGG
rnacentral:rRNA from 1 species